rnacentral:rRNA from 1 species
UACAGAGGUCUCAAGCGUUGUUCGGAUUCAUUGGGCGUAAAGGGUGUCGUAGGCGGCGCGGUAAGUCGGGUGUGAAAUCUCGGGGCUUAACUCCGAAACUGCAUUCGAUACUGCCGUGCUUGAGGACUGGAGAGGAGACUGGAAUUAGGUGUAGCGGUGAAAUGCGUAGAUAUCAUAGGAAGACCAGUGGCGAAGGCGGGUCUCUGGACAGUUCCUGACGCUGAGGCACGAAGGCCAGGGGAGCAAACGGG